UGGGGAAUAUUGGACAAUGGGCGCAAGCCUGAUCCAGCCAUGCCGCGUGAGUGAUGAAGGCCCUAGGGUUGUAAAGCUCUUUCACCGGUGAAGAUAAUGACGGUAACCGGAGAAGAAGCCCCGGCUAACUUCGUGCCAGCAGCCGCGGUAAUACGAAGGGGGCUAGCGUUGUUCGGAUUUACUGGGCGUAAAGCGCACGUAGGCGGACUAUUAAGUCAGGGGUGAAAUCCCGGGGCUCAAACCCGGAACUGCCUUUGAGACUGGUAGUAUUGAGUUCGAGAGAGGUGAGUGGAAUUCCGAGUGUAGAGGUGAAAUUCGUGUAUAUUCGGGGGAAAACCAGGGGCGAAGGGGGCGCACUGGCUCGAUACUGACGCUGAGGUGCGAAAGCGUGGGGAGCAAACAGG
rnacentral:rRNA from 1 species